rnacentral:rRNA from 1 species
AUUGAACGCUGGCGGCAGGCUUAACACAUGCAAGUCGAGCGGGGGAAGGUAGCUUCCUACCGGACCUAGCGGCGGACGGGUGAGUAAUGCUUAGGAAUCUGCCUAUUAGUGGGGGACAACAUCUCGAAAGGGAUGCUAAUACCGCAUACGUCCUACGGGAGAAAGCAGGGGAUCUUCGGACCUUGCGCUAAUAGAUGGGCCUAAGUCGGAUUAGCUAGUUGGUGGGGUAAAGGCCUACCAAGGCGACGAUCUGUAGCGGGUCUGCGAGGAUGCACCGCCCAACUGGGACUGAGACACGGCACAGACGCCUACGGGAGGCAGCAGUGGGGAAUGUUGGACAAUGGGAGGAACCCUGAUCCAGCCAUGCCGCGUGUGUGAAGAAGGCCUUAUGGUUGUAAAGCACUUUAAGCGAGGAGGAGGCUACUUUAGUUAAUACCUAGCGAUGGUGGACGUUACUCGCAGAAGAAGCACCGGCUAACUCUGUGCCAGCCGCCCCCGUAA